UACGGAGGGGGCUAGCGUUGUUCGGAAUUACUGGGCGUAAAGAGCUCGUAGGUGGUUUGUCGCGUUGUUCGUGAAAUCUCACAACUCAAUUGUGAGCGUGCGGGCGAUACGGGCAGACUGGAGUACUGCAGGGGAGACUGGAAUUCCUGGUGUAGCGGUGGAAUGCGCAGAUAUCAGGAGGAACACCGGUGGCGAAGGCGGGUCUCUGGGCAGUAACUGACGCUGAGGAGCGAAAGCGUGGGGAGCGAACAGG
rnacentral:rRNA from 1 species